rnacentral:rRNA from 1 species
CACGUAGGGCGCAAGCGUUGUCCGGAAUUAUUGGGCGUAAAGAGCUCGUAGGCGGUCUGUUGCGUCCGCUGUGAAAACUCGGGCUUAACCCCGAGCCUGCAGUGGAUACGGGCAGACUAGAGGUAGGUAGGGGAGAAUGGAAUUCCCGGUGUAGCGGUGAAAUGCGCAGAUAUCGGGAGGAACACCGGUGCGAAGGCGGUUCUCUGGGCAUGUCCUGACGCUGAGGAGCGAAAGUGUGGGGAGCGAACAGG